UGGAAUCAGGAUAAAAGCUAAUUAUAGAACAUCUUUGCUAGUGCUGUUUCUAUUUGCAUUUUCAAAACCACAGACGCAGAGAACACAGGCUUUCCUAACAUAUCAGCAUCUUCCUGAUUUCUGAGCUCUUUGAAGCCGCCCUUGCAUCUUUUCCUUGAAGAUGUGUUGUGGUUGAACAUUUCCAGUUCAAGGGCAAUUUUGAGAUGCAAAUCCAAACCACAGUGAGAUCGUAUCGCCUAACUCCAGUAACAACAGCUGUUACAAGACCAUGAAAGAUAACAAGCACUGUUCUGGAGAUUUACGGGCACCUUCUUGGCUCUGGUGAGGACCUCAUGAAGGAUGGGAUACGAGCUCUCCAUCAUUGCGAGUCAGCACCUGUGAUAAGAAAGAUCUGCGAAUCUCUGAGAGAUUGUUGGUGAGGUGGAAAGGAACAUCCUCACUCCUUGCACCUGAACUCCAGGUGAGUAAGGGCAGUGGUGGAGACCCAGCACCAGCACCCCUGCUGCACACUACGGCUGUGGGCCCUCUUAGCUCUCAGGUCAAAGAGGAAGAAAACUGGAGUGGCCUGAGAGGCUGCAAAGUGGUAACGAUGGCACCAGGGGCACCGGAGGGCACAUUUUUUCAGAAAUGAAACACACAGUACAGGUUAGUAGUUUACUAAUUUAACAAAUUUCUUUUUAAAGAUUUUAAAUCUUAGACUGU